rnacentral:rRNA from 1 species
ACGCAUUUUAGAGCAUUAUUCACUUUAACUAAAAAUUAAAAUUACAUUCAAAUCCAAAUUUAAAAAUUUCAUAUAAAAAAUUAUCCUAAAAUAAAUUUAUUGUAAUCCAUCUCUACUUUUAAAGGCUGCACCUUGAUCUGAUUUCUUACUAAAUUAAAUAUAAAAAUUAUAUACUUCUAAAAAUAAUUUUCAACAACGAUAUACAAGCAAAAUUAAAAGUUUUUAUAAUCGUGAAUUAUCGAUUACAGGACAGAUUCCCCUGAUGAGAAUAAAAAACCGCCAAAUUUUUUGAUUUUAAAGAACAUAACUCUUAUUAAUCAAGUUUAAACAUUCAACGUCUAGAAUAAUGGGGUAUCUAAUCCCAGUCUAAAAAUCUAGAUUUCUUAACUUCAUAAACAAUAAAUAAAUUAAAUAAAAAAUAGGAUUUCACCCAAUAUUUUCUUAAAAUAAAAAAUAAAUUUUAUUAAUUAAUUAUAACUAAAAAAAAAUAAUAGCAUUUUUUGUAUAACCGCA